rnacentral:rRNA from 1 species
AUACGGAGGAUCCGAGCGUUAUCCGGAUUUAUUGGGUUUAAAGGGUGCGCAGGCGGCCAUUUAAGUCAGCGGUUAAAUCGUGGGGCUCAACCCCAUUCUGCCGUUGAUACUGGGUGGCUUGAUUGCGGUCGAGGUUGGCGGAAUUCGUUGUGUAGCGGUGAAAUGCAUAGAUAUGACGAAGAACACCGAUUGCGUAGGCAGCUGACCAGACCGCAAAUGACGCUCAUGCACGAAAGUGCGGGGAUCGAACAGGAUUAGAUACCCUGGUAGUCCGCACAGUAAACGAUGAAUACUUGUUUUCGGCGAUAUAAUGUCGGAGGCAAAGCGAAAGCGAUAAGUAUUCCACCUUGGGAGUACGCCGGCAACGGUGAAACUCAAAGGAAUUGACGGGG